AGAGUUUGAUCAUGGCUCAGAACGAACGCUGGCGGCGUGCCUAACACAUGCAAGUCGCGCGCGAAAGUCUUCGGAUGAGUAGAGCGGCGCACGGGUGAGUAACACGUGGGUAAUCUACCCUUAGGAUCGGGAUAACCCAGGGAAACUUGGGCUAAUACUGGAUAAUACUGCAGGACGAGAGUCGUGCAGGAAAAGCAGAGGACCUCUUCGGAGGCUUUGUACCAAAGGAUGAGCCCGCGGCCCAUCAGCUAGUUGGCGGGGUAAUGGCCCACCAAGGCUAAGACGGGUAGCUGGUCUGAGAGGAUGAUCAGCCACACUGGAACUGAGACACGGUCCAGACUCCUACGGGAGGCAGCAGUGGGGAAUCUUGCGCAAUGGGCGAAAGCCUGACGCAGCAACGCCGCGUGAGUGAUGAAGGUCUUCGGAUCGUAAAGCUCUGUCGGCAGGAACGAUGGACGGGUUGGCUAACAUCCAACAAGUCUGACGGUACCUGCAAAGGAAGCACCGGCUAACUCUGUGCCAGCAGCCGCGGUAAGACAGAGGGUGCAAGCGUUGUUCGGAAUUAUUGGGCGUAAAGGGCGCGUAGGCGGCCUCGUAAGUCAGAUGUGAAAGCCCUGGGCUUAACCCAGGAAGUGCAUCUGAUACUGCAAGGCUUGAGUCCUGGAGAGGGGUGGAAUUCCCAGUGUAGAGGUGAAAUUCGUAGAUAUUGGGAGGAACACCGGUGGCGAAGGCGACCACCUGGACAGAGACUGACGCUGAGGCGCGAAAGCGUGGGGAGCAAACAGGAUUAGAUACCCCCGUAGUCC
rnacentral:rRNA from 1 species